rnacentral:piRNA from 1 species
ACACAUGGCUUUUAUCUCAGGCCAUCA